CCAGCCACCGCAACGGCAAUACGCAGCACCAUGGGCCAGGAAAACGACACCCACUUCAACCUCGUUGGGUUCUCCAACUUCGUCCGGACGAACCCCCGGUCCGACCGGUUCAGGGUCCACCGGUUCCACCACGUCGAGUUCUGGUGCACCGACGCCACCAACGCCGCCCUCCGAUUCUCCUGGGGACUCGGCAUGCCCAUGGUAGCUAAGUCCGACCUCUCCACCGGCAAUCAAACCCAUGCCUCCUACCUUCUCCGCUCCGGCGACCUCAAUUUCCUCUUCACCGCCCCGUACUCCCCCACCCUGACCCGAACCGCCGACCCGGCCCGGCCCAGCAACUCCAGCGCCUCCAUCCCCACCUUCGACCACACCGCCUCCCGCGCCUUCUCUGCCACCCACGGCCUCGGCGUCCGCGCCGUCGCCAUCCAAGUCGAAGACGCCGUCUCCGCCUUCACCACCAGCGUCGCCCACGGCGCCAAACCCUCGGCCGCCCCCAUCCUCCUCGACAACCGCGUCACCAUCGCGGAAGUCCAACUCUACGGCGACGUUGUUUUGCGGUACGUCAGCUACUCGGACCACAACCACCUCACAGAUCCGGACCCCAACCUCUGGUUCCUCCCCGGAUUCGAACCCCUACCGUCGUCGUUUCCAAUCGACUUCGGAAUCCGCCGCCUCGACCACGCCGUCGGCAACGUGGAGGAUCUCAAAUCGGUGAUAUCGUACGUCAAAGGCUUCACCGGAUUCCACGAGUUCGCCGAGUUCACCGCCGACGACGUCG
rnacentral:lncRNA from 1 species